rnacentral:misc_RNA from 1 species
AUUUUCGAAAAGAAAUAAUAAACAACCUUUCAAAAUCAAAAAGAAAUCCAAUUCUAUUAUCUGGAUUUAGAGAAGUAUAUGAAUUGAAUGAACCUAAAAAAGAAAAAGAUUCGAUAAUCAAUAACAAUAAUGAGACGAUUAAAAAAUUAUCCAUCCCAAUUCGAUCUAUGACUUGGACAAAUUAUUCACUGACAGAAAAAAAAAUGAAAGAUCUUUCUGCUAGAAGAAAGAUAAUCAUAAAUCAAAUAGAAAAAAUUACAAAAGAAAAGGAAAAAAAAAUGAGAACCCCGGAAAUAAAUAUUAGUCCUAACAAAAACAAAAUAAGUUAUAAUGCUAAAAAAUUAAAAUCAUCAAAAAAUAUUUCGCAGAUAGUAAAAAGAAGAAAUGUUCGAUUAGCGCGUAAAUUCCAUUUUUUUAUAAAAAUUUUGAUUGAAAAGAUAUACAUAGAUAUCUUUUUAGGUAUCAUUAAUAUUCCAAGGAUCAAUGCACAGCUUUUUCUUAAAUCAACAAAAAAAAUUAUUACUAAAUACAUUUACAAUAAUGAAGAAAAUCAGAAAAAAAUUGAUAAAACAAAUCAAAAUACAAUUCACUUUAUUUCGAUUAUAAAAAAGUCACGUAAUAGUAAUAAUAGUAAUGUUGUUGUUAUUAAUAAAAAUUCAAAGAUUUUUUGUGACAUAUCCUCCUUGUCACAAGCUUAUGUAUUUUACAAAUUAUCACAAAUCAAAAUUAUUAACUUAUAUAAGUUAAAAUCUAUCUUUGAAUAUCAUAGCCUUUUUCUGAAGAAUGAAAUAAAGGAUUUUUUUAUAGCCCAAGGGCUAUUUAAUUCCGAAUUAAAAAAUAAAAAUUUUAGAAAUUCUGUAAUGAAUCAAUGGAAAAAUUGGUUAAGGAGUCAUUAUCAAUAUAAAUACGAUCUAUCUCAGAUUAGAUGGUCUAGAUUAACACCACAAAAAUGGCGAAAUAUAAUCAAUCAACAUCAACACCAUAUGGUUCAAAAUAAAAAAUUAAACAAAUGGAAUUUAUAUGAAAAAGACCGAUUAAUUCAUUACAAAAAAAAAAAUGAUUUUGAGACAGAUUCAUUACCAAAUCAAAAAGAUAAUUUUAAAAAACACUAUAAAUAUAAUCUUUUAUCAUAUAAAUCUAUUAAUUAUGAAAAUAAGAAGGACUCAUAUAUUUAUGGAUCACCAUUACAAGUAAAUAAUAAACAAGAGAUUUCUUAUAAUUACAACACAAAAAAAAGCAAAUUAUUUGACAUGUUGGAAGAUAUUUCUAUCAAUAAUUAUCUAGCGGAAGAUGAUAUUAUUGAUAUGGAGAAAAGCGCGGAUAGAAAAUAUUUUGAUUGGAGAAUUCUCAAUUUUUGUCUUAGAAAGAAGGUUGAUAUUGAGUCCUGGAUCGAUACCGGAAGCAAAGAUAAAAAAAAUACUAAGACUAGGACUAAUAAGUAUCAAAUAAUUGAUAAAAUUGAUAAGAAAAAUCUUUUUUUUCUUACAAUUCACCAAGAUCAAGAAGUUAAUUCAUCCAAUCAAAAAGGUUUUUUUUUUGAUUGGAUGGGAAUGAAUGAAGAAAUAAAAAAUUGUCUUAUAUCCAAUUUUGAACUUUGGUUCUUUCGAAAAUUUGUGAUACUUUACAACACAUAUAAGAUAAAACCAUGGGCGAUACCCAUCCAAUUUCUUCUUUUCAAUUUUCAUAGAAAUGAAAAUGUUAGUAAAAAUAAUAAAAUUAACCGGAAGAAAAAUAGCGAUCUUUUUAUAUCUAUAUCAUCGAAUGAAAAAAAAAUUAUUGAAUUAGAGAAUCAAAAUCACGAAGAAAAAGAAUCCGAAGACCAAGGGGACUUUGGGUCAGUUUUCGCAAAUCAAGAAAAAGAUAUUGAAGAAGAUUAUAUAGAAUUAGAUAUGAAAAAACAUAGAAAUAAAAAGCAAAACAAAAGUCAUAUGGAAGUAGAACUUGAUUUCUUCCUAAAACGGUAUUUAUGUUUUCAAUUAAGAUGGAAUGGUUCUUUAAAUCACAAAAUAAUCAAUAAUAUCAAAGUAUAUUGUCUCCUGCUUAGACUGACAAAUCCACGAGAAAUUAUUAUAUCUUCUAUUCAAAGGCAAGAAAUAAGUUUGAAUAUUCUGAUGGUUCAGAAGGAUUUAACUCUUACGGAAUUAAUGAAAAAGGGAAUAUUGAUUAUCGAACCUGUUCGUCUGUCGGUAAAAAAUGAUGGACAAUUUAUUUUGUAUCAAAUGGUAGGUAUCCUAUUAGUUCAUAAGAACAAACAACAAAUUAAUCAAAAAUACAGAGAAAAUUUUUAUGUUGAUAAAAAGAAUUUUACCGAAUCUAUUGAAAGACAUCAAAGUAUAAUUGGAAAUAGAAACAAAAAUGAUUAUGAUUUACUUGUUCCUGAAAAUAUUUUAUCCCCUAAACGUCGUAGAGAAUUAAGAAUUCUUUUCAAUUUAAAAAAUCAAAAUGAUAUUCAUAUAAAUACAGAAAUUUUCAAUGGUAAUAACAUAAAAAAUUGUAGUCCCAUUUUAGAUAAAAGCAAACAUUUUGAUAGAGAUAAAAAGAAACUAAUUAAAUUACAAUUUUUUCUUUGGCCCAAUUUUCGAUUAGAAGAUUUAGCUUGUAUGAAUCGUUAUUGGUUCGAUACUAAUAAUGCUAGUCGGUUCAGUAUGGUAAGAAUAUAUAUAUAUCCGCGGUUGAAAUUUUGAUAAGGGUGCAUUUUUCAUAUAUCCCAUAGCAUAUCUGAUUUAGUAUAUGAAAACAAGGAGAUGGGUACGUCAUUCUUUUUCUUUUCCACUCCAUAUUCCAUUCUGAUACAUGGAAUUCAAUUAUGUAUCAAUUAGAUCUAGAAACGAAUCAAUGGAAUUUUUUUCUUUUCAUAUUAAGUAGAAUUUUUUUCUCUUUUGUAAGCGAAGAAAUAUACCAUCCUUUUGUAUCUAUAACCGAAUAAAAAAAAAAUUGGAUUGAUUAAUGAUAAAUUGUAUUUAACAAAAUUUUGAAUUACUAACAAAGUAAAGAUUUUUGUUUAUACCAAAUUAAAAUGAACUGACAUUAUUUUAUUUAAUAAAUUUUUUAUUAUUACUGAUCAAUAAAAAAAUAUUUUAAACUUAAUUAAUAAUUAAUAAUUAAAAAGGGAAGUGCUUGUUUUAUGGUAAAAAAUUCAUUCAUUUCAGUUAUUUCACAAGAAGAAAAAGACGAAAACAAGGGAUCUGUUGAAUUUCAAAUAGUAAGUUUCACUAAUAAGAUACGAAGACUUACUUCACAUUUGGAAUUGCAUAGAAAAGACUAUUUAUCUCAGAGAGGUUUGCGAAAAAUUCUAGGAAAACGACAACGACUCCUGUCUUAUUUAGCAAAGAAAAAUAGAGUACGUUAUAAAGAAUUAAUUAUCCUGUUGGAUAUUCGGGAAUCAAAAACUCGUUAAUUUUAAGAGUUUUUUUGAAUUAUUUGAUUUAUUAGAUCUUGAGAUGAACUUCUUUUUGUUUUCAGUAAUUCAUGGACGAAUGGAUCAAGGAAACCCUAUGAAUGUACCAGCUACACGAAAAGACCUUAUGAUAGUUAAUAUGGGCCCCCACCACCCAUCAAUGCAUGGUGUUCUUCGCCUCAUCGUUACUCUAGACGGGGAAGAUGUUAUUGACUGUGAACCAAUAUUAGGUUAUUUACACAGAGGAAUGGAAAAAAUUGCGGAAAAUCGAACAAUUAUACAAUAUUUGCCCUAUGUAACACGUUGGGAUUAUUUGGCUACUAUGUUCACAGAAGCAAUAACAGUAAAUGGUCCAGAACUGUUAGGAAAUAUUCAAGUGCCUAAAAGAGCUGGCUAUAUCAGAAUAAUUAUGUUGGAAUUGAGUCGUAUAGCUUCUCAUUUGUUAUGGCUUGGUCCCUUUAUGGCAGAUAUUGGUGCACAGACUCCUUUCUUCUAUAUUUUUAGAGAAAGAGAGUUAGUAUAUGAUUUAUUCGAAGCUGCCACUGGUAUGAGAAUGAUGCAUAAUUUUUUUCGUAUCGGGGGAGUAGCGUCUGAUCUACCUUAUGGUUGGAUAGAUAAAUGUUUGGAUUUUUGCGAUUAUUUUUUAACAGGAGUUACUGAAUAUCAAAAACUUAUUACGCGAAAUCCUAUUUUUUUAGAACGAGUUGAGGGAGUAGGUAUUGUUGGUACAGAGGAAGCAAAAAAAUUGGGGUUUAUCGGGACCAAUGCUACGAGCUUCCGGAGUACAAUGGGAUCUUCGUAAAGUUGAUCAUUAUGAGUGUUACGACGAAUUUGAUUGGGAAAUCCAGUGGCAAAAAGAAGGAGAUUCCUUAGCUCGUUAUUUAGUCCGAAUUGGUGAAAUGAUGGAAUCUAUAAAAAUUAUUCAACAGGCUCUGGAAGGAAUUCCGGGGGGGCCCUAUGAGAAUUUAGAAAUCCGACGUUUUGAUAGAGAAAGGGAUUCGGAAUGGAACGAUUUCGAAUAUCGAUUCAUUAGUAAAAAAACUUCUCCUACUUUUGAAUUACCGAAACAAGAACUUUAUGUGAGAGUCGAAGCCCCAAAAGGAGAAUUGGGAAUUUUUCUGAUAGGAGAUCAGAGCGGUUUUCCUUGGAGAUGGAAAAUUCGUCCGCCGGGUUUUAUCAAUUUGCAAAUUCUUCCUGAAUUAGUUAAAAGAAUGAAAUUGGCCGAUAUUAUGACAAUACUAGGUAGUAUAGAUAUCAUUAUGGGAGAAGUUGAUCGUUGAAAUGAUAAUUGAUACAACAGAAAUACAAGCUAUCAAUUCUUUUUCUAGAUUAGAAUCCUUAAACGAGGUCUAUGGAAUUAUAUGGGUGUUUGUCCCGAUUUUUAUUCUUGUAUUGGGAAUCACGAUAGGCAUACUAGUAAUUGUAUGGUUAGAAAGAGAAAUAUCUGCAGGGAUACAACAACGUAUUGGACCUGAAUAUGCCGGUCCUUUAGGAGUUCUUCAAGCUCUAGCGGAUGGGACAAAACUACUUUUCAAAGAGAAUCUUUUUCCAUCUAGGGGGGAUAUUCGUUUAUUCAGUAUCGGACCAUCCAUAGCAGUCAUAUCAACUCUAUUAAGCUAUUCGGUAAUUCCUUUUGGCUAUCACCUUGUUUUAACUGAUCUAAAUAUUGGUGUUUUUUUAUGGAUUGCCAUUUCAAGUAUUGCUCCCAUCGGACUUCUUAUGUCAGGAUAUGGAUCAAAUAAUAAAUAUUCCUUUUUGGGUGGUUUACGAGCUGCUGCUCAAUCGAUUAGUUAUGAAAUACCAUUAACUCUUUGUGUGUUAUCCAUAUCUCUACGUGUGAUUUGUUGAAAUAUAAACUUUUCCCUAUUCCUUUCUUUUUAUCUUUUUAGGAAGAAGGCGAAAUUAAUUGAAUAGAUAUCUUCAUUUUUUAUUCAUCGUUUGGGUUGAUGAACUAAAUUGGAUAGUUAUAUGAGUGAAAGAAAACAACUUCUACAUUUGCAGUAAAAAAAUUGAGACUCAUUUCCUAUGUACAAGAGUAAAACAGAAAUAAACAUAAGAAAAGAAGAAUGUUUGCCCCAAGAUUGGUUGAUUAGUCAUCCUGGCUUGAAGCGGGCCCAAAAUAUCAACCUUAUUGAGUUUUCACUAUCAUUUAUAUGUAUUACCAUAAUGCUAACAGGUGAUUAAGCAAAAAUGAGUGGAUGGUUAGGAACACCAAGAUACACAAAGGAUUAGUAAGAGAGAUUAAAAAAAUUAUCUAAAAAGAUAUUUCGGUAUAAUAUAAAAAAGUAUAUUAAUUGGGGCUUUAACUUGGUAGAAAUGAUUAGGCAGUACUCCCCAUGAUUCCGAUCCAGAGUAUGCUCCUACCCACCGAUUAAAGAAAUAACUAUCAGGAACGAAAUAAUCCUUUCCUUUUUUUUAAUCCCCU